ACCUAUGCGAAUAUGGUUACUGUAUAAUUCAUCCCUUUUGACCCCUGUGUUUAGGACGACUCAGGAUUAAACUGUCAACCCUGAUUAGAUCAUCCGAAUCAUGCUCAACUCAAAUAGUCCUGUGACUCCUCACUAGGACUACCCUGGCCAAGAUUUUACUAAAUUAAAAUAUGACUGUACACAGCUCCUAAACUGGAGUGGUCAAUCCCAUCUUGACACACGCACCGACAAGUCAAGUACUUGACUACACCCAGCAACCUUCCGUCAUUGAAUUAGAAAUUCAGGUAGUCCAGUGCCUAAGUGCAGUGAGUUACUUGCAAGUCACCGUGGCAGUCUC
rnacentral:lncRNA from 1 species